rnacentral:rRNA from 1 species
AAUAGAUACCCCGGUAGUCCAUACCGUAAACGAUGAAUGCUAAGUGUUGGAGGGUUUCCGCCCUUCAGUGCUGCAGCUAACGCAUUAAGCAUUCCGCCUGGGGAGUACGGCCGCAAGGCUGAAACUCAAAGGAAUUGACGGGGGCCCGCACAAGCGGUGGAGCAUGUGGUUUAAUUCGAAGCUACGCGAAGAACCUUACCAGGUCUUGACAUACUAUGCAAAUCUAAGAGAUUAGACGUUCCCUUCGGGGACAUGGAUACAGGUGGUGCAUGGUUGUCGUCAGCUCGUGUCGUGAGAUGUUGGGUUAAGUCCCGCAACGAGCGCAACCCUUAUUAUCAGUUGCCAGCAUUAAGUUGGGCACUCUGGUGAGACUGCCGGUGACAAACCGGAGGAAGGUGGGGAUGACGUCAAAUCAUCAUGCCCCUUAUGACCUGGGCUACACACGUGCUACAAUGGAUGGUACAACGAGUUGCGAACUCGCGAGAGUAAGCUAAUCUCUUAAAGCCAUUCUCAGUUCGGAUUGGUA